rnacentral:rRNA from 1 species
AUUGAACGCUGGCGGCAUGCCUUACACAUGCAAGUCGAACGGCAGCACGGGGGCAACCCUGGUGGCGAGUGGCGAACGGGUGAGUAAUAUAUCGGAACGUGCCCUAGAGUGGGGGAUAACUAGUCGAAAGAUUAGCUAAUACCGCAUACGAUCUACGGAUGAAAGUGGGGGAUCGCAAGACCUCAUGCUCCUGGAGCGGC